rnacentral:rRNA from 1 species
GCUGGCGGCGUGCCUAAUACAUGCAAGUCGAGCGAAUGGAUUGAGAGCUUGCUCUCAAGAAGUUAGCGGCGGACGGGUGAGUAACACGUGGGUAACCUGCCCAUAAGACUGGGAUAACUCCGGGAAACCGGGGCUAAUACCGGAUAACAUUUUGAACUGCAUGGUUCGAAAUUGAAAGGCGGCUUCGGCUGUCACUUAUGGAUGGACCCGCGUCGCAUUAGCUAGUUGGUGAGGUAACGGCUCACCAAGGCAACGAUGCGUAGCCGACCUGAGAGGGUGAUCGGCCACACUGGGACUGAGACACGGCCCAGACUCCUACGGGAGGCAGCAGUAGGGAAUCUUCCGCAAUGGACGAAAGUCUGACGGAGCAACGCCGCGUGAGUGAUGAAGGCUUUCGGGUCGUAAAACUCUGUUGUUAGGGAAGAACAAGUGUUAGUUGAAUAAGCUGGCACCUUGACGGGUACCUAACCAG